GUGCCAGCAGCCGCGGUAAGACAGAGGGGGCAAGCGUUGCUCGGAAUCACUGGGCGUAAAGGGCGCGUAGGCGGGAUGGCAAGUCGGUCGUGAAAUCCUUCGGCUCAACCGAAGAACGUCGGCCGAUACUGCCGUUCGUGAGGGAUGCAGUGGAGAUUGGAAUUCCCGGUGUAGCGGUGAAAUGUGUAGAGAUCGGGAGGAACACCGGUGGCGAAGGCGGGUCUCUGGGCAUCUCCUGACGCUGAGGCGCGAAAGCGUGGGGAGCAAACGGGAUUAGAUACCCCGGUAGUCCACGCUGUAAACGAUGACGACUAGGUGUGGGGGGGGUUAGUCCCUUCCGUGCCGCAGCUAACGCAUUAAGUCGUCCGCCUGGGGAGUACGGCCGCAAGGUUGAAACUCAAAUGAAUUGACGG
rnacentral:rRNA from 1 species